rnacentral:rRNA from 1 species
CAGCAGCCGCGGUAAUACGUAGGUGGCAAGCGUUGUCCGGAAUUAUUGGGCGUAAAGGGCUCGCAGGCGGUUUCUUAAGUCUGAUGUGAAAGCCCCCGGCUCAACCGGGGAGGGUCAUUGGAAACUGGGAAACUUGAGUGCAGAAGAGGAGAGUGGAAUUCCACGUGUAGCGGUGAAAUGCGUAGAGAUGUGGAGGAACACCAGUGGCGAAGGCGACUCUCUGGUCUGUAACUGACGCUGAGGAGCGAAAGCGUAGGGAGCGAACAGGAUUAGAUACCCCAGUAGUCCCUGUCUCUUAUAC